GCAAACCUCUCCCCCGCUUUCUCUGCUGAGGAGGGAAAAGGGGAUGUGCAGUAAAAUUCCGUCUCUGGGACAGGUGCCAGCUCCUAGACAAAAGAAGUAAAAUAGGCGGUAAAGAGGGGAGGGGGGGAAAUUAAUAGCCAACAAAAAUAGGAAUCGAAAAUCUCGGAGAGGCAGCGCUGGUGAAAGUGAUGUUGCCUAACUCGCCAUUUUUUUUCUCCCCUGAAUAUUUGCUUAGCCAUGGGUUGAAAGGAGAAAGUUGAGGCAUACUUUUUAUUCAUGUCUUCUCUGCAGACAUUUGAAAGCGUAAAGGGAGGGUGGAGGAUGUCUUUUUUUCUCUCUCUCUCUCUCCCUCCUCUCUCUCUCUCUCUCUCYCUCCCUCUCCUGAAUUAUUCAUAGUGUCAGUGGUGAAGCCAGGACUAUUAGCAUGCAUCAGACAUGCUGUUUGUCUGUUUGCUAACAUUCUUCAUUCAAGACUUGUUAACUACCAGACAAGCUUAACACGCUUCUCUUUUUCCCCUCCCCUUCCCUCUCCCUGUGUCUCUGUCACUGCGCGCCUGCCUCCCCUCAUUUCUGCCUUCCCUUGCCUUGCCUUUCAUGCCACCCCUCUCAGCCUCCCAUUGUUGUUGCCGAGAGCUGGCAGCCAGGGGUGGCGGUGGCAGGGGAAGCAUGCGGACGAGGAGCCGGAGCCCGGUUGCUAGCAUACUAGCCUGGAUGCAAUCUCCCUGUAAGGAGUGUGAAAUGUACAGCUGCAAAACUACAGUUUUAAGCAAAAAAAAAAGCUCUUCCUCAUCUGAACCAUCAUUCAAAACACAAGAUGAAAGUAGCUGAAGAAAAGUUGUUUAUGAUAUCAUCUGCAGGACUCCUAGAAAAUUCUUUGGAAACUUGGGCAUGUCUGUCUCAGGCUGCCCCUAAAAAAAAUGAAGUAUUAAUCUGGCAAGAUGAAAUCAAGAUGCACAAAGAGAAGAUAUUAGAGACUAUUCUGCAAGGUGUUCAGAUAGAAUGCCUGACUGGGGAACCCUUGCUAACCAAGUCAGAAGAUGAAAGAACUGAAGACUGGUCAUCUGUGCAGAGGAAAUGACAAGGCCUCGUCUGCCCUGGAUGCUGGCCUCCCCCUGCUUUCCGAGCAGAGUGAUCUGGUGUCCAUCGUUGCUGCCCGGGAGAGCACGGGAAGGCGGCGCAGCAGGAGUUACUCGGCUGCGGCUCCUCGCAGCCCUGCGUGCGGCGCUUCG
ensembl:lncRNA